rnacentral:rRNA from 1 species
AGUGAACGCUGGCGGCAGGCCUAACACAUGCAAGUCGAGCGGCAGCGGGUUCCCGCGAGGGGAUGCCGGCGAGCGGCGGACGGGUGAGGAACACAUCGGAAUCUGCCUGGUUGUGGGGGAUAACGUAGGGAAACUUACGCUAAUACCGCAUGAGACCCUGAGUCGACGGACUGGGGGUGAAAGUGAGGGACCUUCGGGCCGUCACGCGACCAGAUGAGCCGAUGUCGGAUUAGCUAGUUGGCGGGGUAACGGCCCGCCAAGGCGACGAUCCGUAGCUGGUCUGAGAGGAUGAUCAGCCACACUGGGACUGAGACACGGCCCAGACUCCUACGGGAGGCAGCAGUGGGG